rnacentral:rRNA from 1 species
GUCCACGCCGUAAACGAUGAGCGCUAGGUGUCGCGGGUAUUGACCCCUGCGGUGCCGCAGCCAACGCGAUAAGCGCUCCGCCUGGGGAGUACGGUCGCAAGACUAAAACUCAAAGGAAUUGACGGGGGCCCGCACAAGCGGUGGAGCAUGUGGUUCAAUUCGACGCAACGCGCAGAACCUUACCUGGGUUAAAUCCACCGGAACCCUGCAGAGAUGCGGGGGUGCUCGCAAGAGAGCCGGUGAGAAGGUGCUGCAUGGCUGUCGU